UUAAGCGACUAAGCGUACACGGUGGAUGCCCUGGCAGUCAGAGGCGAUGAAGGACGUGCUAAUCUGCGAUAAGCGUCGGUAAGGUGAUAUGAACCGUUAUAACCGGCGAUUUCCGAAUGGGGAAACCCAGUGUGUUUCGACACACUAUCAUUAACUGAAUCCAUAGGUUAAUGAGGCGAACCGGGGGAACUGAAACAUCUAAGUACCCCGAGGAAAAGAAAUCAACCGAGAUUCCCCCAGUAGCGGCGAGCGAACGGGGAGCAGCCCAGAGCCUGAAUCAGUGUGUGUGUUAGUGGAAGCGUCUGGAAAGGCGCGCGAUACAGGGUGACAGCCCCGUACACAAAAAUGCACAUGCUGUGAGCUCGAUGAGUAGGGCGGGACACGUGGUAUCCUGUCUGAAUAUGGGGGGACCAUCCUCCAAGGCUAAAUACUCCUGACUGACCGAUAGUGAACCAGUACCGUGAGGGAAAGGCGAAAAGAACCCCGGCGAGGGGAGUGAAAAAGAACCUGAAACCGUGUACGUACAAGCAGUGGGAGCACGCUUAGGCGUGUGACUGCGUACCUUUUGUAUAAUGGGUCAGCGACUUAUAUUCUGUAGCAAGGUUAACCGAAUAGGGGAGCCGAAGGGAAACCGAGUCUUAACUGGGCGUUAAGUUGCAGGGUAUAGACCCGAAACCCGGUGAUCUAGCCAUGGGCAGGUUGAAGGUUGGGUAACACUAACUGGAGGACCGAACCGACUAAUGUUGAAAAAUUAGCGGAUGACUUGUGGCUGGGGGUGAAAGGCCAAUCAAACCCGGAGAUAGCUGGUUCUCCCCGAAAGCUAUUUAGGUAGCGCCUCGUGAAUUCAUCUCCGGGGGUAGAGCACUGUUUCGGCAAGGGGGUCAUCCCGACUUACCAACCCGAUGCAAACUGCGAAUACCGGAGAAUGUUAUCACGGGAGACACACGGCGGGUGCUAACGUCCGUCGUGAAGAGGGAAACAACCCAGACCGCCAGCUAAGGUCCCAAAGUCAUGGUUAAGUGGGAAACGAUGUGGGAAGGCCCAGACAGCCAGGAUGUUGGCUUAGAAGCAGCCAUCAUUUAAAGAAAGCGUAAUAGCUCACUGGUCGAGUCGGCCUGCGCGGAAGAUGUAACGGGGCUAAACCAUGCACCGAAGCUGCGGCAGCGACACUAUGUGUUGUUGGGUAGGGGAGCGUUCUGUAAGCCUGUGAAGGUGUGCUGUGAGGCAUGCUGGAGGUAUCAGAAGUGCGAAUGCUGACAUAAGUAACGAUAAAGCGGGUGAAAAGCCCGCUCGCCGGAAGACCAAGGGUUCCUGUCCAACGUUAAUCGGGGCAGGGUGAGUCGACCCCUAAGGCGAGGCCGAAAGGCGUAGUCGAUGGGAAACAGGUUAAUAUUCCUGUACUUGGUGUUACUGCGAAGGGGGGACGGAGAAGGCUAUGUUGGCCGGGCGACGGUUGUCCCGGUUUAAGCGUGUAGGCUGGUUUUCCAGGCAAAUCCGGAAAAUCAAGGCUGAGGCGUGAUGACGAGGCACUACGGUGCUGAAGCAACAAAUGCCCUGCUUCCAGGAAAAGCCUCUAAGCAUCAGGUAACAUCAAAUCGUACCCCAAACCGACACAGGUGGUCAGGUAGAGAAUACCAAGGCGCUUGAGAGAACUCGGGUGAAGGAACUAGGCAAAAUGGUGCCGUAACUUCGGGAGAAGGCACGCUGAUAUGUAGGUGAAGUCCCUUGCGGAUGGAGCUGAAAUCAGUCGAAGAUACCAGCUGGCUGCAACUGUUUAUUAAAAACACAGCACUGUGCAAACACGAAAGUGGACGUAUACGGUGUGACGCCUGCCCGGUGCCGGAAGGUUAAUUGAUGGGGUCAGCGCAAGCGAAGCUCUUGAUCGAAGCCCCGGUAAACGGCGGCCGUAACUAUAACGGUCCUAAGGUAGCGAAAUUCCUUGUCGGGUAAGUUCCGACCUGCACGAAUGGCGUAAUGAUGGCCAGGCUGUCUCCACCCGAGACUCAGUGAAAUUGAACUCGCUGUGAAGAUGCAGUGUACCCGCGGCAAGACGGAAAGACCCCGUGAACCUUUACUAUAGCUUGACACUGAACAUUGAGCCUUGAUGUGUAGGAUAGGUGGGAGGCUUUGAAGUGUGGACGCCAGUCUGCAUGGAGCCGACCUUGAAAUACCACCCUUUAAUGUUUGAUGUUCUAACGUGGACCCGUGAUCCGGGUUGCGGACAGUGUCUGGUGGGUAGUUUGACUGGGGCGGUCUCCUCCUAAAGAGUAACGGAGGAGCACGAAGGUUGGCUAAUCCUGGUCGGACAUCAGGAGGUUAGUGCAAUGGCAUAAGCCAGCUUGACUGCGAGCGUGACGGCGCGAGCAGGUGCGAAAGCAGGUCAUAGUGAUCCGGUGGUUCUGAAUGGAAGGGCCAUCGCUCAACGGAUAAAAGGUACUCCGGGGAUAACAGGCUGAUACCGCCCAAGAGUUCAUAUCGACGGCGGUGUUUGGCACCUCGAUGUCGGCUCAUCACAUCCUGGGGCUGAAGUAGGUCCCAAGGGUAUGGCUGUUCGCCAUUUAAAGUGGUACGCGAGCUGGGUUUAGAACGUCGUGAGACAGUUCGGUCCCUAUCUGCCGUGGGCGCUGGAGAACUGAGGGGGGCUGCUCCUAGUACGAGAGGACCGGAGUGGACGCAUCACUGGUGUUCGGGUUGUCAUGCCAAUGGCACUGCCCGGUAGCUAAAUGCGGAAGAGAUAAGUGCUGAAAGCAUCUAAGCACGAAACUUGCCCCGAGAUGAGUUCUCCCUGACCCUUUAAGGGUCCUGAAGGAACGUUGAAGACGACGACGUUGAUAGGCCGGGUGUGUAAGCGCAGCGAUGCGUUGAGCUAACCGGUACUAAUGAACCGUGAGGCUUAACCUU
rnacentral:rRNA from 1 species